UACUGCACAGCAGACAAGGCCCACGACAAAGUGUUUGCCUACAUUGCCCAGAGCCAGCUGAGCGAGAGCCUGGAGUGCCACGCCUUCCUGUGCACCAAGAGGAAGAUGGCCCAGGCUGUCACCCUCACCGUGGCCCAGGCCUUCAGGAUCGCCUUUGAGUUCUGGCAGGCAGCCAAGGAAGAGAAGGAGAAGAGGGAAAGGUCCAUCCUGG